UCUCAGAAACCAGAAUUCUGACUGAUGGGCGCCAACAAGCAAACAGCUUCAGAAGACGCGAGUUGUGACGGUCGGACAGCUAACGUUCUGAAGAAAAUGAGUUAUUUAAGUGAAUUUUUACGUGCAAGAGGAGUACCCGAAGCUGCGAUAGCAGUAAUGGAAGAACAAAAGAUUGACUCUGAUGUCAUAGCAACACUGGAAAAUUAUGGAGAUGGAAUUGCUGUUUUCAACUUCUGCUAAAGCAAAAAACUGUCCAAAAAAGGCCUUCUGCUGAAACGGUUCCCUUCUUAAAGUGAAAGAAGCUACAAAAUGUCAGAUUUGGAUGAUAUCAUUAGGCUUUACUUCAGACUGUCUUUAAGUAACAAAGAAAUCCUCCAUAUUUUAGCGCACAGUCAUCAUACUAUAUUAAGUAACCGAACUCUUAAAAGAAUUUGCAGAAGACUUGGGCUGUUUAGAAGAAAGAAUCAGUCCGACCUUGAAGAAGUGCUGGCCUUUGUCCAACAACAAAUAAUGACUAAUGGACAAAUGCAAGGUUAUCGGUGGCUACAUCUUCGUGCAGUUCAACAUGGAUUUGUGGUGUCACAAGACACUGUGAGACAUUUAAUCAAAUUGUUUGACCCAGAAGGUGUGGAACUGAGACGAGCACGACGGUUGAGAAGACGUCAGUACAAUUGCAGAGGACCAAAUGCACUCUGGCACAUGGAUGGUUACGAUAAACUAAAACCUUAUGGCAUUGCUAUCAGUGGCUGUAUAGAUGGUUUUAGCCGACAUGUUUUAUGGAUGGAGGCUUAUACCAC